GCUAGGUGUGGUGGCACGCACCUGUAGUCCCACCUACUGUGGAGGCUGAGGCGGGAGGAUCACUUGAGCCUAGGUGCUCUGGGCUGCAGUGAACUGUGACCAUCAGGUGUUUGCACUAAAUUUAGCAUCAAUAUAGUGAUCUCCCAGGAGCAGGGAACCACCAGAUUGCCUAAGAAGAGGUGAACCAACCGAGGUCAGAAAUGGAGCAGGUCAAAGUUCCAGGGCUGAUCAGUAGUGGAAUGGUGCCUGUGGAUAACCACUGCACUUCAGCCUGGGCAACAUAGUGAGACCCUCUUUUAU
ensembl:misc_RNA Metazoa_SRP Metazoan signal recognition particle RNA